UACGUAGGGAGCAAGCGUUGUUCGGAUUUACUGGGCGUAAAGGGCGCGUAGGCGGCAAUUCAAGUCAUCUGUGAAAUCUCCGGGCUUAACCCGGAACGGUCAGGUGAUACUGUUUUGCUAGAGUGCGGAAGGGGCAAUCGGAAUUCUCGGUGUAGCGGUGAAAUGCGUAGAUAUCGCUUGGAACGCCGAAGGUGAAAACAGGCUGCUGGGGUUGCGCCGACGCUGAGACACGAAAGCCAGGGGAGCAAACGGG
rnacentral:rRNA from 1 species